UCGAACGGCAGCACGGGAGCAAUCCUGGUGGCGAGUGGCGAACGGGUGAGUAAUAUAUCGGAACGUGCCCAGUCGUGGGGGAUAACGUAGCGAAAGCUACGCUAAUACCGCAUACGAUCUACGGAUGAAAGCGGGGGACUCGCAAGAGCCUCGCGCGAUUGGAGCGGCCGAUAUCAGAUUAGGUUGUUGGUGAGGUAAAAGCUCACCAAGCCUGCGAUCUGUAGCUGGUCUGAGAGGACGACCAGCCACACUGGAACUGAGACACGGUCCAGACUCCUACGGGAGGCAGCAGUGGGGAAUUUUGGACAAUGGACGAAAGUCUGAUCCAGCAAUGCCGCGUGCAGGACGAAGGCCUUCGGGUUGUAAACUGCUUUUGUACGGAACGAAACGGUCUGCUUUAAUACAGCGGGCUAAUGACGGUACCGUAAGAAUAAGCACCGGCUAACUACGUGCCAGCAGCCGCGGUAAUACGUAGGGUGCGAGCGUUAAUCGGAAUUACUGGGCGUAAAGCGUGCGCAGGCGGUUAUAUAAGUCAGAUGUGAAAUCCCCGGGCUCAACCUGGGACCUGCAUUUGAGACUGUAUAGCUAGAGUACGGUAGAGGGGGAUGGAAUUCCGCGUGUAGCAGUGAAAUGCGUAGAUAUGCGGAGGAACACCGAUGGCGAAGGCAAUCCCCUGGACCUGUACUGACGCUCAUGCACG
rnacentral:rRNA from 1 species